rnacentral:rRNA from 1 species
CAGCCGCCGCGGUAAUACCGGCGGCCCGAGUGGCGGUCACUAUUAUUUGGCUUAAAGCGUCCGUAGCCGGGUUGGGAAGUCCUCCGGGAAAUCUGGCCGCUUAACGGUCAGAAUGCCGGAGGAUACUCCCAGCCUAGGGAGCGGGGGAGGCCGAGGGUAUUCCCGGAGGAGGGGGGAAAUCCUAUAAUCCCGGGAGGACCACCUGUGGCGAAGGCGCUCGGCCGGAACGCGGCCGACGGUGAGGGACGAAGGCCAGGGGAGCAAACCGGAUUAGAUACCCGGGUAGUCCUGGCUGUAAACGAUGCGGACUUUGUGUCGGACAAGCUAUGAGCUUGUCCGGUGCCGGAGGGAAACCGUUAAGUCCGCCGCCUGGGGAGUACGGCCGCAAGGCUGAAACUUAAAGGAAUUGGCGGG